rnacentral:rRNA from 1 species
AUGGCGAUCCUUUGCUGGAACUGUCAAGGUUUGGGCCACCCCGGUACAGUUCAAGAACUAGUGUGCCUAGUGCGUACAUAUCGCCCCACUGUCGUGUUCAUCUCUGAGACGCGACAGUGUGAAGAGAGCGUGAAAAUAAUAAGAGAAAGAAUAUGCCUCAAACAUUGUAUCACCCACAAUGGGGUGGGCAAAGGGGUCGGCAUCGCCCUAUUUUGGGACGAUAACGUUGAAAUAAAUUUGCUCUCUUAUGGACCACGUUACAUUGAUGUUCAUAUCCGGUAUGUUCAGAGCAGCCCAUUGUGGAGGGGUACUUUUGUAUAUGGAGAACCAAAAGCACAUUAG